GGAGCCAGGGGGCGGGGUAUCACGGCUGCCGCCAGGGCGCCGCGUCCGGGGACUUGUGGGUGUUACACUGACUGACAGCUCCGCUACCGCGGACCCGCCCUCUGCCCUCACCAGCCGAGUGGUGGUCAGGCCCGGGUAGCUCUGCGAGGCGGUGGCCAGAGAGGGAUCCAUGGGGAUAGUGCACGCCCGGAGUUUGGAGCCUCUUCCAGCUAAUGGACCUGAUUUUGGAGCAUUAGAAGAGGCUGAGUUUGUUGAAGUUGAACCUGAAGCCAAACAGGAGAUUCUUGAAAACAAAGAUGUGGUUGUUCAACAUGUUCAUUUUGAUGGACUUGGAAGAACUAAAGAUGAUAUCAUCAUAUGUGAAAUUGGAGAUUAUUUUAAGACGAAAAAACCUUAUUGAGGUGAUGCGGAAACCUCACGAAGCUGGAGAAAAAUUGCUUCGCCUAGGAAUAUUUAGACAAGUAGAUGUUCUGAUUGAUACGUGUCAAGGUGAUGAUGCGCUUCCAAAUGGGUUGGAGGUUACCUUUGAAGUAACUGAAUUAAGGAGAUUAACGGGCAGUUAUAACACCAUGGUUGGGAACAACGAAGGCAGUAUGGUGCUUGGCCUCAAACUCCCUAAUCUUCUAGGCCGUGCAGAAAAGGUGACUUUUCAGUUUUCCUAUGGAACCAAAGAGACUUCGUAUGGCCUGUCCUUCUUCAAACUACUGCCCGGAAACUUCGAGAGAAACUUCUCUGUAAACUUAUAUAAAGUUACUGGCCAGUUCCCUUGGAGCUCAUUUCAGGAGACAGACAGAGGAGUGUCUGCCAAGUACAGCUUUCCCAUAUGGAAGACCAACCACACUGUCAAGUGGGAGGGUGUGUGGCGGGAGCUGGGCUGCCUCUCCAGGACAGCGUCCUUCGGGGUCUGGAAGGAAAGUGGGCGCUCGCUGAAAUCACCUCUUUCGCAUGCAAUGGUCAUCGACUCACGGAACUCCUCCAUCUUGCCCAGAAGAGGUGCUCUACUGAAAGUUAACCAGGAGCUGGCCGGCUACGCCGGAGGGGACAUAAGCUUCAUAAAAGAAGAUUUCGAGCUUCAGUUGAAUAAACAACUUUUAUUUGAUUCCGUUUUCUCAGCGUCUUUCUGGGGUGGGAUGCUGGUGCCCAUUGGCGAUAAACCAUCAAGUAUUGCGGACAGGUUUUACCUCGGAGGACCAACCAGUGUGCAUGGGUUCAGCAUGCACAGCGUUGGGCCACAGAGUGAAGGCGACUACCUGUGUGGAGAGGUGUACUGGGCCGGUGGCCUACACGUGUACACCCCACUGCCUUUCCGGCCAGGCCAGGGUGGCUUCGGGGAGCUCUUCAGAACACACUUCUUCCUCAACGCGGGGAACCUCUGCAACCUCAACUACAGGGAGGGCCCCAAGGCUCAUAUCCGGAAGCUGGCCGAGUGCAUCUGCUGGUCUUAUGGUGCCGGCAUCAUCCUCAGGCUUGGCAACAUUGCCCGGCUGGAACUGAAUUACUGUGUUCCCAUGGGCAUGCAGAAGGGUGACAGGACAUGUGAUGGUGUCCAGUUUGGAGCCGGGAUCAGGUUCCUGUAGCUGACACGUGUGCUCGAGAGCCUGCAGGAGGAGCUCUGGGACUCGGGGCCAUGCACCUUCUAGCCGAGUAAACACGCGCCGUUCUUUGCAGUCCUCGUGGGAAACCAUGUCAAUAAAUUUUAAAGACAAAAACAAAAGAAAA